GACAGAGGGUGCAAACGUUGUUCGGAAUUACUGGGCGUAAAGCGCGUGUAGGCGGCUUGGCAAGUCGGGUGUGAAAGCCCUCAGCUCAACUGAGGGAGCGCGCCCGAAACUGCAGAGCUUGAGUACCGGAGAGGAUGGCGGAAUUCCCCAAGUAGAGGUGAAAUUCGUAGAUAUGGGGAGGAACACCGGUGGCGAAGGCGGCCAUCUGGACGGAUACUGACGCUGAGACGCGAAAGCGUGGGGAGCAAACAGG
rnacentral:rRNA from 1 species